rnacentral:snRNA from 1 species
GUGCCCAUUUUGGCAGCACAUAUACUAAAAUUAGAAAGACACAGAGAAGACUACCAUGAUCCCUACUCAAAGAUGACAUGUAAAUUUGUAAAGCAUUCCAUAUUCUU